rnacentral:rRNA from 1 species
UAGCCUUGCGGCCGUACUCCCCAGGCGGGGCACUUAAUGCGUUAGCUGCGGCACGGGAGGAGUGGAUACCCCCCACACCUAGUGCCCAUCGUUUACCGCGUGGACUACCAGGGUAUCUAAUCCUGUUUGCUCCCCACGCUUUCGCGUCUCAGCGUCAGUAUCGGUCCAGGAGGCCGCUUUCGCCACCGGUGUUCCUCCCAAUAUCUACGAAUUUCACCUCUACACUGGGAAUUCCGCCUCCCUCUCCCGUACUCAAGCCUUGCCGUUUCAGAUGCACUUCCCCGGUUGAGCCGAGGGCUUUCACAUCUGACUUACAAGGCCGCCUACACGCGCUUUACGCCCAGUAAUUCCGAACAACGCUUGCACCCUCCGUAUUACCGCGGCUGCUGGCACGGAGUUAGCCGGUGCUUCUUCCUACGGUACCGUCAGGCUCCGCGGAUUAUCCCCGCGGAACUUUCGUCCCGUCCGAAAGGGCUUUACGACCCGAAGGCCUUCUUCACCCACGCGGCGUUGCUGCGUCAGGGUUUCCCCCAUUGCGCAAUAUUCCUCA